rnacentral:rRNA from 1 species
AUUGAACGCUGGCGGCAGGCCUAACACAUGCAAGUCGAACGAGUGGCGGACGGGUGAGUAAUGUCUGGGAAACUGCCUGAUGGAGGGGGAUAACUACUGGAAACGGUAGCUAAUACCGCAUACCAUCAGAUGUGCCCAGAUGGGAUUAGCUAGUUGGUGGGGUAACGGCUCACCAAGGCGACGAUCCCUAGCUGGUCUGAGAGGAUGACCAGCCACCCUGGAACUGAGACAGGGUCCAGAUUCCUACGGUAGGCAGCAGUGGGGAAUAUUGCACAAGGGGGGCAAGCCUGCUGCAGCCAUGCCGGGUGUAUGAAGAAGGCCUUCGGGUUGUAAAGUACUUUCAGCGGGGAGGCGUUACCCGCAGAAGAAGCACCGGCUAACUCCGUGCCAGCCGCCGCGUAAUUC